ACCCCAGGGUCUGCAAGGGUAGGGGAGGGAGGUUUAUUUUCAUCCUUAGCUUCAGCGAGCAUAAUAGACUGCACCGUAGUCAGAGCCUUGUUGUCUUUCCUCGCUGUGUGUUGGAGUUCCGUCGCACUGGACCGCAGGCAGGAGCUGGGCGCUUGUCCAGGAUAGCCAUGCCUGAAGAGGACACCGGGACUGGGAUGGCCACUCACCCUGGACCUCGAGGACAGCUGGCUAUUGGGACCAGAGAAGAUUGCCUUGGAACCAGUGACGCGGAGGAGCGCCGGACUGGUGCAGUUUCCUGCACGCUACACCGAGCACAUUGAGAUGAAGGAGGCACUGUGUCCUUUUCACAACAAUAAUCUUGGAAACUGUCCCACCUCUUGGCCGGACUGGACUUUUCCUCCCUGAGUUUUUGGGUGGUCUCCCACAGAAGACCCCUCUCGUUCAUCUACAACCACCGUGACAGACAAGCUGAGAUGACAGAAGCCUCUCCACCAGAGAAGACCCCAAGAAAUCCCCAUGUGAGAAAAAGCCUCCCUCACACUUUCCAAGGACUGGAGCCCCCAGCCCAGGGGAGGUGCAUGGGGGGAGGUGAGCUGACCAAAGCAAGAUGGAUGACUGCAGGUGAGGGCACUGGACCACGAAAACAAUGGCCUUUGUUCGUUGCAAAGUGGACUGUGUGUAUCCCCUUUCCAAAUACCAUUCUUUCUAUACAAUAGAUUUGGUUUUGAAAUAAUCCCCUUCCCCCUCAUCGAAAAGUGUAUAAUUGGAGUCCAGAUGGACUGCAUCUCUGAGAUCUCCCCGGGACGUGAACUGGUGAACCUCUUCGGCUGGACACCGAAGGAACUCCGCCAUUCUCACGUUUUGGUAGCUAUAACCCCCCUUUUCUUUCCCUUCCUUUUUUUUUUUUCCUUAUUUUUCCCUCUUUCCCCCUAAUUUUUCCCCAAUGCAUUUUUACUGUGGUUGUUUCA